rnacentral:rRNA from 1 species
CAAGAGCGUAUGUAAAAGUUGUUGCAGUUAAAAAGCUCGUAGUUGAACCUUGGGUUUGGUUGGCUGGUCCGCUUUUUUGCGAGUACUGGAUUCAACCGAGCCUUUCCUUCUGGCUAACCAGUCGUUUCGGCGGCUGGCGAACCAGGAUUUUUACUUUGAGAAAAUUAGAGUGUUCAAAGCAGGCAUUAGCUUGAAUAUAUUAGCAUGGAAUAAUAGAAUAGGACGUUAUGGUUCUAUUUUGUUGGUUUCUAGGACCAUCGUAAUGAUUAAUAGGGACGGUCGGGGGCAUCAGUAUUCAGUUGUCAGAGGUGAAAUUCUUGGAUUUACUGAAGACUAACUACUGCGAAAGCAUUUGCCAAGGACGUUUUCAUUAA